rnacentral:rRNA from 1 species
GGUUUUCGGACCUAGAGACCGGCGCACGGGUGCGUAACGCGUAUGCAAUCUACCUUUUACAGAGGGAUAGCCCAGAGAAAUUUGGAUUAAUACCUCAUAGUAUAGCUGUACCGCAUGGUACUACUAUUAAAGUCACAACGGUAAAAGAUGAGCAUGCGUCCCAUUAGCUUGUUGGUAAGGUAACGGCUUACCAAGGCAACGAUGGGUAGGGGUCCUGAGAGGGAGAUCCCCCACACUGGUACUGAGACACGGACCAGACUCCUACGGGAGGCAGCAGUGAGGAAUAUUGGUCAAUGGGCGCAAGCCUGAACCAGCCAUGCCGCGUGCAGGAUGACGGUCCUAUGGAUUGUAAACUGCUUUUGUACAGGAAGAAACAGUUCUACGUGUAGAACCUUGACGGUACUGUAAGAAUAAGGAUCGGCCAACUCCGUGCCAGCAGCCGCGGUAAUACGGAGGAUCCAAGCGUUAUCCGGAAUCAUUGGGUUUAAAGGGUCCGUAGGCGGUUUUGUAAGUCAGUGGUGAAAGCCCAUCGCUCAACGGUGGAACGGCCAUUGAUACUGCAAGACUUGAAUUAUUAGGAAGUAACUAGAAUAUGUAGUGUAGCGGUGAAAUGCUUAGAUAUUACAUGGAAUACCAAUUGCGAAGGCAGGUUACUACUAAUGGAUUGACGCUGAUGGACGAAAGCGUGGGGAGCGAACAGGAUUAGAUACCCUGGUAGUCCACGCCGUANACGAUGGAUACUAGCUGUUCGGAGCAAUCUGAGUGGCUAAGCGAAAGUGAUAAGUAUCCCACCUGGGGAGUACGUUCGCAAGAAUGAAACUCA